ACUUUUUCGAGUUAAGGGUGGAAUUGUGGAACUGAUGGCAUGAACUCACAUUCUCUUUUCGAGAGGAGGUCAAUUAAUGAAAUUAGGAAUGACAUAUACUAAGUAAUAUGAACUGAAUAAAAUCUGAACUCAGUAGGAGAGGGCAAUUGCUCUUGUAUUGUAUAUACAGUAGGUAUCGUUUAUAACUCAUUGCAGUAUUUGCAUCAGUUUGGUUGGAAUGUUUCAUCUUUACUCUGAACGGAGUGCGUACAACCAUGCAUGCAUGUACUGUAGGUCAAAAUCA